rnacentral:rRNA from 1 species
AGUUUGAUCAUGGCUCAGAGCGAACGCUGGCGGCAGGCCUAACACAUGCAAGUCGAACGGACCCUUCGGGGUUAGUGGCGGACGGGUGAGUAACACGUGGGAACGUGCCUUUAGGUUCGGAAUAGCUCCUGGAAACGGGUGGUAAUGCCGAAUGUGCCCUUCGGGGGAAAGAUUUAUCGCCUUUAGAGCGGCCCGCGUCUGAUUAGCUAGUUGGUGAGGUAAUGGCUCACCAAGGCGACGAUCAGUAGCUGGUCUGAGAGGAUGACCAGCCACAUUGGGACUGAGACACGGCCCAAACUCCUACGGGAGGCAGCAGUGGGGAAUCUUGCGCAAUGGGCGAAAGCCUGACGCAGCCAUGCCGCGUGAAUGAUGAAGGUCUUAGGAUUGUAAAAUUCUUUCACCGGGGACGAUAAUGACGGUACCCGGAGAAGAAGCCCCGGCUAACUUCGUGCCAGCCGCCGCGGUAAUUCA